CUUUGAGUUUCUUAUGUUUCGUUUCCUUUGAAAUGAGCUUUCUGGUUUUGUUUGUGGUGUAGAGUGAGAGAGAUAGUGGGUGUGGCUUUAAAUACACAGUUCAGGUGUAUAGAAUUUUUAUAGUGUAAAUGAGCUUACAGGUGGACUGAAUAUUGAUUUCCUAUAAAUAUCUGUUUCAUGAUCAUAUAUUGCAUAUUUGAAUGUGUUUAUAUCAUCACUGGAAUGUUUCUGUAUAAAAGCGUAAUUGACAUCACGGAUUCAUUCAACAUCAGAAGUGACACCUUUAUGUCACUAAAGUGUAUCUGAAACAAAUUUAUUAACUAAAACAAAUGUACAAAAGUAAGAGUAGUCGGCUUAUUGAGUCUAAAUACUACUAGUGAAGAAAAAAUUAUUAACGUUUUAAAGUAUUUUUAUUAAAAUAUUAUUGUUAGUAUUGUUAGUUUUGAUUUUUCCUUACCAGUGGCAGCAGUUAUUUGUUUGCUUUUCCAUUUCUCUUUUGAUCUAUUGUCCAUCCUGGACUGUCUUUUGCUUCAUUCCCCUCAUGUUUUUACUUCUUCUUUUGUAUAUAUCAGGUAAAUCCCUAGCAAAUUAAUAAAUGAAGCGACAGUAGACUCAGUGUCACAGGCUCCACCCCUCGUCAGCGCACUCGCGCUCCUUACUGUAAUUGAUUGCACCUGCUCCUUGUUUUCUGUGCACGCGCUCUCCUACUUAAUCUCCUCUCCUUCACCCGUUUAACUCCUCCGUCUGUUCGUGCCUGUCAUUCCGCUACAGUUCGCCCGUUACACUUAGCAGAACCCAGCAUAUAGAGGCUGAGUGAAUGUGGUGUGGACUCUGUGGAGGAGCCUCGCUGUAUCAGAGACGCUGUAGAAGGACAGAGUUCCUGCACUGUGAUCCACAUACACUCCUGUUCUGGAGGAUGCUGCUGAGCUUAGUCUUAAUGUUGUUGUGCCGGAAAAAGACAGAGGAAGAACACUCCAAGACUGACUGUUGAAUCCAAACCCACACCCAUUACCCUCUCUUUUCCUGCUGAUCUCUUUAUAUGAGACUGAUAUGAAAACAUCACUGCUCCACUCCACCUCCCAGUAACAGCGUCCACACACACUCCUUACACAACACCUGAGUCCAGGAGUCAAAUGUCUCUGGAUAAUCAGAGUAUUGCUGUUCUGUUCCACUGCGUGUCACCACUCUGUUCUUCUCAGACAGGAUGAGUUCAGGAUGUUCUGUGUUUGGAUCCAGAGUCAGAUAACAGAAAUCUAAAGUAAUAAAAUGUCCACAGGUUAGAUGUUAAUCACAGGAUUUAUAAUAAGUGUAAGUAACUCUUUUUCUGUCCUCCUAAUGCUGAUCUAAAAAAAUGGAUCUGAUUUAUAUAAACAAUGCAGAUAUUUAACACUCUGUGUGUGUUGUACACCUACACUGCAGAAAAUCUUCUGUACUCUUUGGUUUUGAGGAUAAAAUCUUCUGAACUCCUGCAGCUGUGGAGACAGAGAUUAGAAAUGUUAAAAAUGUCAUGUUUGGCAUCUGUUCAGAUUUGUAACUUUAAUGCAUCAACAAAAAUAAAAUUAACAAAAAAACAAAGUUAUUAAUUGUGGAGUAUAUCGUGUGGUAAACCUUCAUUUAAGCACAAUGGGUUGCUUUAGAUUGACAAUUGUCGAAUUUUGAAGCGGAUGUUAGUGGAUUAGAGAGAUCCUCUUGAGAACCCAAAACAACACGUUGAUGGUUAACUGAUUAGUUGGUUGAUUGACUUAUGAUAGUCAUAAUUAUAGUCAUAAUCAUAAUGUCAAAAUUAUCAUAAUGUAAAUCACAAUUGUCAUAAUUAUGAUUGUGUUAUUGUUCAUAAGUGUUUAUGUGAAACUACUAGAUUUGUGGAACAUGAACGAUAGGUAACUUAGCCAUGUGAAUGCUAAUUUGUGUGAGAUUCAUGUGAUGUAUUUGCAAUUCAUUACAAUUUAAAGACAAUUUUAAAAGAUACUUAUUGCACUGUCUGUAUACACAGGUCAGGUUUUUUUUUUGGUAUUGAAUUAAGAGAAUGUGGAUUACUUAAUUUAAGAUGGCGAGCCACCCCAGGAUUUAACCUCAACAUGAGAAGAGGAGGAAUAAAGAUAUCUUUACAGCUACUUUCCAACUUGGUGAAGUAAUUUUCAUUGGUAGGAUUUUGGAUUUGCACUUGCACAUGAGUGGAAAUCAAUUUGGAUCACCCCAGGGACAAAACUUUUAGUAGGUUUGCAAAACUGUUUCUAGAGACUGAUGUCAGUGUUUUGGUUGGUCAUUUUCAUUGUCUCAUACAGUGGAACCUCACUUAAUGAGCAUUAUUCAUUCCCGUAUCUUACUCGUAAUGCGGAACACUUAAGCGAAACAAUUUUUUCCCAUAGGAAUCAAUGUAAAAUAUGAUAAUGCACUAAAAGGAAGCACAUGCUACAGUAGUUUGUAGCAAGCCAGAAAGGAGAGCAGCUGUAGUUGAUAUUCUGUGAGUCUAAAAAAAAAUUGGAACCCACAUUGGUAGUAUCACAGAUAGUUUGCCUAGUUCAAUUUGUAUAUUGUUGAGGUUGAGAAUGUAAAGGUUGAGAACUCGGCAAGACUCUUCUCUUUCUACCUUACAACAGUCUAGGAAAAUCUUAUACAGCCUACUGCCCCCUGCAUCUGAAAUACUGCCACUCUAUGUGCAAAGUCUUCAGCUGUAGUUUACCUCAAUGUCCUAGACUCAGCUUUUGAUAGCGUGGAGGAUGGUGACGACCUUUUUGCCAAGUUCCUAAAUACAUUGCAGGAUGCAAGAGAAAAGCCAUCCAUGUACUUGCAACAUUUGCACACUAGUCUCCUCAAACUAUGGGGGAGGUGGUAUUUCUGUUGAUGACAUUGACCGACAACUCCUGAAACAAUUCUGUCAGGGUUGCUUUCGACAACACGCUAAUAACACACCUUCAUCUCAAGCAUAAGAAAAGCCAGCCCUCCAUUUCCUGAGUUACUCUUUCAGUUGAACAGCCAAGAGAAUAAACAUCUGACAAAAGAAAGUCGCAUUAGGCAGCAUCUGGGUGCACAAAGGCAAAAGGCCAGCUCUUAUGUUGUGACUGCACAUUCCCUUGAACCAGAGCACACAGAGAUUGCUAAAUUAAAAACCAAGUUGCGAAGCUCCAAGGUCAGCUUGCUAAACAAAAACCCAAACUAACAAAGGAAACUACGUCUCCAAUGACUGACGCUGUUCUUGAAUUAAGGCAACAGGUUACGCUACUCCAAGUCAAAUUACGAAACUUAAGGAUCAGAAGAGUCCAAAGCCAAAGGGUGACUUAAGUGAAACCAUGUGUAACAUCCCAACGUGAACCCUCCCCAGAAUGCUAAUUACUCACGUGACUCGCCCAUUGUUUUCCCACGGAUUUAAAUACCCCAUGCACGCAUUGUUUUACGCGAAGUAUCGUCCUCACGUGACCUACUGAGCGUUUCUGUGUUUGAGAUUGAUAUUGUGUAUGAUCCUUGCCUGUUUUCCACGUCUGAUUCUUGCUUUGCCUCUGAUAUUGAUUUCCGUGUAUGACCCUGCCUGUUUCUCUGACUGCACGCUUAGUUUUGUGCUUUUGGUUUUGUUUUCUCGUCCCAGUAGUUUUCCGGUUUUGACUCGCGUUUAUUUUUUGACUUUGAUUUUUUGACUUCGAUUUUUUGACUUCGAUUUAGCCUGUGUGUUUAUUAAUAAAGAUCCGCUUAUGGAUUCGAUUCCUGCAGCCUCCGGCUCAUCCUUACACCAUGCAACUGUGCUUAAAUCCUUUUCAAGCGAGUACUCUUGCUGCUGUUCAGAAGUCGCAUGACCUUGAUACUGGAUCCCAAGUAACCAGCAAACGGUCAAGAUAUCUUUACAGCUCAUCACCACUGUCAGCUUGGUACUUUGCACUGGUAGGAUUUUGGAUUUGCACUUGCACCUGAGUGGAAAACAAUUUGGAUCACUCCAGGGACAAAAUUUUUUGUUGGUUUGCAAAACUGUUUCUAAGACUGAUGUCUGUGUUCUGGUUGGUCAUUUUCAUUGUCUCAUAUGUAUUGUUGUUUAAUUGCUGCAUAUUCAUUCUCUAUUAUUGACAAUUUGUGUUUUUGGGUCAGUAACAAAAGAGCAUUGUAUUUUCAACUUGAGUAGUUGUAACACUGUGACAGUCGCAACCAUUUGUUUAAUUGUAAAUUUUGAUAAUUUAACUUAAAAAAAAAACUUAAAUAGGAACACUAAAUAACACAAUAUUUGAGAUACGAAAAUAUGAGGUUUUCAUUUAUAAUAAUAUUUUACUGUUUUUUUUAUUUUACAUAAAGUGUAUACAGUACAUACUUUCUGUCCUUUUUUUGCAUGUAAAUCUCAGGCAAUAUAUGCUGGUAUAAUUUAUUUGAGGUUGUGGUGGGUUUCCUUUGUUUUGCUUGUCAACCCUGCUCUCCAUGCAAACCUAAAUACUGGUCUAUUAUCUGAGUCUAUCUCUGCAGGCGUGUCUAAAGAGGAAGCACAUGCUACAUGUUUGUUUGCUAAAUUUAUCUUGAUGUAAUUAUAUUCAGGCUUGUUACUUGCUUCCUUCUCAUUUCUGUUAUGAUGCAUAACAAAUGUGUGGUUGUUUACCUUGUGGAUGGAUUUUUGGUAUUAAGACUUCCCAUUCAUCAGGCAUAAUCAUAAAAUAUAAAUACAGCAGGUCCUCGCUUUACGACGUCCUCGACCUAUGGCGUUUCGUGGUUACGUCGCCAUCUCCCAUAACUUUAUUUAGAAAGUCUUGUUCCAUCAUUCUGACGUACGGCGUUUGCAACGUUAAAACAAAUUUCGCGCGGGAACUAGUUGGCGAGCGGAGCGGACGAAUACGUAGUCAGGCAGAGCUAUACGAGGAAGACGGCUUUGUUUACAUUCGCCGGUUGUAUGCCAUAUUGGUUUGUGCUACAUUCGCUUUCUUUCGUUUGUGUUGUUUUUCUGGAAACUUUUUGCCCUUCAUUAUGGCUCCCAAGUGUAAGUCAGACUCUUCUGAUGGCAGUGCUUCGAAGAAAUGGACAGCCAUCUCCAUGGAAGUGAAAUUAGAUAUAAUAAAACGCUCGGAAAUGGGCGAAACACCGACGAACAUUGGCCGGUUGCUUGGCCUAAGUCGCACGACUGUCUCGACGAUCAUCGGCGAUAAACUUGAACAUGUGAAAGGAUCUGCUCCUGUGAAAUCAACUGUGAUUACAAAGCAGUGUAGUAGUCUCAUUAUUGAGAUGGAAAGAUUAUUAGUGCUUAAAGGUUAAAGGAGUAAAGAUGUGAGAGAGAUUUCCUCACUCCAUCAAAUGAGAGAUGUUGAUUGACAGUGAAGCUGGGUGAGUCUUCACAUCCAGGAGAGACACAGAGAGACGGGAAACUCUACAGAAAGGAAACACAUCAUAGAGAAGG